rnacentral:rRNA from 1 species
UGUGCCAGCAGCCGCGGUAAUACGUAGGGGGCGAGCGUUGUCCGGAUUUACUGGGCGUAAAGGGUGAGUAGGCGGUUAUUUAAGUCAGAUGUAAAAGGCUAUGGCUCAACUAUAGUAAGCAUUUGAAACUGGAUGACUUGAGUGCAGGAGAGGUAAGUGGAAUUCCUAGUGUAGCGGUGAAAUGCGUAGAUAUUAGGAGGAACACCAGUGGCGAAGGCGACUUACUGGACUGUAACUGACGCUGAGUCACGAAAGCGUGGGUAGCAAACAGGAUUAGAUACCCUGGUAGUCCACGCUGUAAACGAUGAGUGCUAGGUGUUGGCUAGCGAUAGUCAGUGCCGACGUAAACACAAUAAGCACUCCGCCUGGGGAGUACGGUCGCAAGACUGAAACUCAAAGGAAUUGACGGGGACCCGCACAAGCAGCGGAGCAUGUGGUUUAAUUCGAAGCAACGCGAAGAACCUUACCAAGGUUUGACAUCCCCUUGACAGAUGCAGAAAUGUGUCCUCUCCUUCGGGAGCAAGGGAGACAGGUGGUGCAUGGUUGUCGUCAGCUCGUGUCGUGAGAUGUUGGGUUAAGUCCCGCAACGAGCGCAACCCUUAUCCUUAGUUGUCAGCAGGUUAAGCUGGACCCUCUAAGGAGACUGCCGGUGAUAAACCGGAGGAAGGUGGGGAUGACGUCAAAUCAUCAUGCCCCUUAUAUCUUGGGCUACACACGUGCUACAAUGGUCGGUACAAAGGGGAGCGAAAGAGUGAUCUGGAGCAAAUCCCAAUAAACCGAUCCCAGUUCGGAUUGUAGGCUGAAACUCGCCUACAUGAAGUUGGAGUUGCUAGUAAUCGCGAAUCAGAACGUCGCGGUGAAUGCGUUCCCGGGUCUUGUACACACCGCCCGUCACACCAUGGAAGUUGGUAAUACCCAAAGUCGCUGAGCUAACCGUAAGGGGGCAGGCGCCUAAGGUAGGAUCAAUGACUGGGGUGA